AUAAAUUUAAUUAAAAUUAAUUAAAAUAUAAAAGUAAUAUUUUUUUUUAUUAAUAAAAAUUUAAUAAUUUAUU
rnacentral:tRNA from 1 species